rnacentral:rRNA from 1 species
UACGUAGGGCGCAAGCGUUGUCCGGAAUUAUUGGGCGUAAAGAGCUCGUAGGCGGUCUGUUACGUCCGCUGUGAAAACCCAGGGCUUAACCCUGGGCUUGCAGUGGAUACGGGUAGACUAGAGGCAGGUAGGGGAGAAUGGAAUUCCCGGUGUAGCGGUGAAAUGCGCAGAUAUCGGGAGGAACACCGGUGGCGAAGGCGGGUCUCUGGACAGUUCCUGACGCUGAGGCACGAAGGCCAGGGGAGCAAACGGG